UGACAAUAGGAAUGAUGUCUUUGAAAGAAGCUCUUUCUUUGGAGAAAUCUCUGAAUCUGGGCCUAGGGUCAGUACUCAGGGAGAACCCAAUCAACAGCAACUACAGUAGGAUGGACUGAAGAGUCUCUUGAGGCAUGGUAGCUGAAAUACAACAUCAUAAUUUUUACUGGAAAAUAGCCACAAUGAAGGAACACCACAAUUUCACCAUGAAAACCAGCACAACCUUACACAGAUGACAAACAUUUCCCCUCAAAACUUGUUAAACUGUAUUUGGGCUGACCAAAUUAACCAGAGAGUUGAUCACACUUAACAAUAUGUGCAGGCAGGACCGAAAAAAGGUGUGGUGCCUUCCAGCCCAUAAAUCAAAGUUUUCUCUUGCCACUGCCAUGUAAGAAGUGCCUUUUGCCUCCUGCCAUGAUUCUGAGGCCUCCCCAGCCAUGUGGAACUGUAAGUCCAAUUAAAUCUCUUUUUGUUCCCAAUUUUGGGUAUCUUUAUCAGCAGCAUGAAAACGAACUAAUACAGUAAAAGAGAACCCUAAUACAACUCGUCUCUGCUAAAACAAUACAAAAAAAGAGCAAGGGAUGGUGGUACACAUCUGUAGUCCCAGAUACUUGGGAGGCUGAGGCAGGAGAAUUGCUUGAACCUGGGAGGUGGAGGUUGCAGUGACCUGAGAUCACACCACUGCACUUCCAGCCUGGGCAGCAGAGCAAGACUCCAUCUCAAAAAAAAAAAAAAGAAAGAAAGAACAUACCUCAGUGUGAUAAGGGCCACAUAUAAGAAUCCUACAGCUAAUAUUAAAUGGGAAAAAAUGGAAAGCCUUUGCAGUAAGAACUAGAAUAAGACGAGGAUGCCCACUUUCACCACUUUUAUUCAACAUAGUACUAGCCAAAGCAAUUAGUCAAGAGAAAGAAAUAAAGGGCAUGCAAAUUGGAAAGGAAGAAGUUGACUUAUCCUUGUUUGCAAACAACGCGAUCUUAUAUUUAGAAAAACCUAAAGAGUCCACCAAAAAAACCUAUUAGAAGUGACAGAUUCAGCAAAGUUACAGGAUAUAAGAUCAACAUACAAAAAUCAGUAAAAUUUCUAUAUGCCAGCAGCCAACAAUCUGAAAAAGAAACCAAUAAAGCAAUCUUACAACAUCUACAAAUAAAAUGCCUAGGAAUAAAUUUAGGAGGUGGAAGACUUCUACAAGGAAAACUACAAAACACUGAUUAAAGAAAUUGAAGAGGAUAAAAAGGGCAAGACAUCCCAUGCUCACUUUUCAGAAGAAUUAAUAUUGUUAAAAUGACAAUACUACCCAAAGCAAUCUACAGAUUUGAUGCAAUUCCUAUAAAAAUACCAAUGACAGUUCUUCACAGAAAUAGAAAAAAAAAUCCUGAAAUUUAUAUGAAAACACGAA